GGCACGUUUUGGGGGGCAGAGACAGUGGGUACGUUGGGAAGAGGUGACUCUGCAGCAUGGGCAGGUUUGGGUACUGGGGAGGAACUUGUGUCAGCUGGGCAGGGCGGAUUUAGGGAAAAACCUCAAUGAGGUGAGGGGAGGGAGCUCUGCACAGAUGGAGGAAGAGCAGGUUGCCACAAAAAGGCGGAUUUUCAGGACUUUUAUUGACAGGAGGAGCCUGGGUUUGGUUUGUGGGCUGGGAAGUGAGGAAUGCUGCGUGGCACAUUCCAGGUGUGGAGCUGUGAAAGGGGGUGACUGGCAGCUCCUGCUGAGUUUUGAGGAGCUGUGGAGACCUGCAGUGGGCUGAGUUUGGGAACACAGGCAUUCCUGUGCCCCCUCCGUGGAAAACCUGUGUGUUUGUGGGAGGGACUGCUGGGGUUUGAACCCCAAAAACGGGACUGAGGGAGGUGAACGUUGCCAUGAAGAAGGCAAAGAACUGGAGCUGCCACGACCAUUUUGUGCCCUGGGCAAUAAAAUAGACACAGAGGAGGGCACAUUGGCAGCCCCAGUCACAAGCCAGGCUCCUCCUGCUCGGAUUCCGCUCACGGAGCGCGGUGGGAAGCGAUUCCUGUGCUGCUGCUGCUGCUGCUGCCCUUGGAGUGUCUUCUCCCCACUUUUCUGGCUCUGUGUGAGGCAGGCAGGUCGCUUCCCUUGCAGCUGUUCCAGGCAGGCCGGGUUGGACUGAGAGCAGCCUCUCUGCAGAGCCCAGGAUGAGUUCCAUGCUGACCUCGGCCAUCCGGAGCCUCCCCGUGUCCUCAGCCUGGGCUGCUGGGGCCUUUGCUCGGUCGCUCAGCUGCUCCUCACAGCUCCAAGCCACAGCCCAGCCCAAGACCAAGAAGUCCUUGGGCAAGAGUGGAGUGAAGAAUGUUGUGGUGGUGGAGGGCGUCCGCAUCCCGUUCCUGCAGUCCGGCACCUCGUGAGUAGCAAAGGGGAGGAAAGGACAUAAAACACCCCCUUUCUGUGGAAAAUUGGGCUGCCUGUUCUUUUUAAUGUGGUUAUUCUUAGGCCUAAAGGCUCUGAAGUGGCUGAGGCUGCUGCAGUUACUGCAGCUCAUCUAAUGCAAAAACAGGGCUUGGAGAGGGUUGUCCUUGUUUAUGAAUUCUGGGAAGAAUGAGGAUUUAUGCAGCGUGUCCAGAGGAACCUGGUGGUGAAUCUGUGGCAGAUAAAGCAACAAGUUUCACCAAACUAGCAGGGCAGGUGCCAGGAAUCUGCUGUAGACUCUCCCUCCUGGAUUGUUACACCACCAAAUUCGCAGCUGAACUAAGACUGGGCCUGACCCUUGGUCAGGAUGGAGAAGGGAUUUUUCCAGUCACUGCUCCUUUUUUUAGUGGGUUUAGUGCAGGGAUUGUGUGCUGAGCUGGACACAGAGAGUCUGCACAGCCUGGGGGGUGAGUCAGGACAAUCCCAGCACAAACACAGCCUGGGCACAGAAUGGAUUGGGAGCAGUGCUGGGGAGAAGGACUUGGGGGUGUUGGU